UACGAAGGGGGCUAGCGUUGUUCGGAAUCACUGGGCGUAAAGCGCACGUAGGCGGAUUUUUAAGUCAGGGGUGAAAUCCCGAGGCUCAACCUCGGAACUGCCUUUGAUACUGGAGAUCUUGAGUCCGGAAGAGGUAAGUGGAACUGCGAGUGUAGAGGUGAAAUUCGUAGAUAUUCGGAAGAACACCAGUGGCGAAGGCGACUUACUGGACACAUAUUGACGCUGGGGUGCGAAAGCGUGGGGAGCAAACAGG
rnacentral:rRNA from 1 species